UUUUAAUUUCAUUUAGCCAUACUUCAUCCGUCUCCUCUCUCUGCUCUAUCUCGAUCUCUCAGCUGCAAGACUCCCAUCUCUGAAAAAUAUUUUGCCUUUGAUUUAAGAUAACUCUGUCUCGAUCUCUACUGCUCAAUCUCCAUUUCGCAGCUGAAGCCCUCGAUUGAUGUUUGCUAACCUGCUCUAUCUCGAUAUCUCACUGCAAGACUCCUCUACCCUGUCUUGAUCUCUCACUUCUCGAUCUCCAUUUCUCAGCUGAAGCCCUUGAUUGAUGUUUGCUAACCCGUCUCUCUUUCGGCAUUAUCUCAUCUGAGAUUACAAAGUUGAAGCCCUAGGCUUCUCUUCAAGCUGUCUCUCCUCAGUCUCGAUCUCUAACCAGCUACUCGAUCUCUAAGAGCUGUAAAUUUAUGUCAUUUCGAGAUCUUACUCACUAGAUUUUCCUCCCAAAACGUUCUCGCUAAAGCCUCUCUCAGAUACCGCUUUGUUUCAUUUUAAUUUCUUCGUGGUUCGUUGUUUUAUUUCUCACUGAUCAUUCAUUUUACACAAUUUAGUUUCUCUCUACAAUUUCUGAAGUUUCUUCAGACUUUCAACGAUAUAAUUUUUGUGGAUGUGAAGUGCCAGGGUUGCUUCAACAUUGUGACCACUAUAAUUUAGCCUUUGUCCCGGUUUCCUUCACAUUAGCAAUCAAGAAGGGGAUUUACCAGCACUUUUUAAGGCUUUCACCAACGUUUUUGAGCGCUGGUGAAAGCCAUGACUGUUGCAGUGUCGACAUCCCCAUCACCUACCCUUCCACUGCCCCUGAACUCGAAUUGCCCCAACUGGAUGGCAAGACCCACAAGAUGUAUAGAGGAGGGAAGAUUUGUUUGACUGUGCAUUUCAAACCGCUCUGGGCUAAGAACUAUGAUUUAGAGAAAAGAUAGCAGAAGGAAGAAAGUCUUUGCAGGAACUUACUCCUUGGUGCUACAAGGAUUGAUUAUCACCAGUUCAUUAGGAGUAGAAGAAUCGGAAUUUUUAUGAUUCCAGUCUACAACAAAGCUACUUUCUUGGAUUUUGUACCGUGGAUUUUGCAGUUACUUCCUUAGAUUUUGUACAGUGAAGUGGUUUUUUGACAAGUGCAGGCUGAAACUCAAGUGCUAGAAGGUUUAUCAAUUUUUCAACAAAAGUAUUAAGAAAUUGACGAUUUUCUUGACAAAUGGAUUUUUUUUCUUGUUUUGGAACAUUGAUAAAUGUUGAAUUGUUUUGGCACAUUAAUAAAUGAUGAAUUGUAAAAAUGUUUUAACUCUUUUGAUAUAUUUAAUGGGAUAUGUAUGUAUUUUGAAUUGAAUUAUAGUUGAAAGUGAUGUGAAUUAUAGGUAGUGGAU